UGGAUCAUUUACGGUAUUUUUUCACCGACCCAUACAAUUGUCCACAUAAGAGUUGAUGUUUCAUAAGGUAAACGUCCAGUUUAUUAAAGGAAGCGGUUAGCUGAAAGUGCAAACCCAAGGAUUAAACUUACAUCCCUCCGCAAGAUGAAUUCCAAGUCUUUGAUAAUCCUGGUGCUUUGUGGCAUCUUGGCACUUCAGAUGACCCAAGUCGAAGGUAUAUGUUACACAUAUGUAUGCCGAAGACGAUGUGUAUACCACGCACCGCGUUACGAGGAGUAUGCUUUCCGUUACUUGUGGCCCAGAGCUUGUGGAGAAACAGCAGUUCGUAGAUGGGGAAUCAAAGCUUGCUGUGUGACUUACGGACGGUACUAGAACGAACACACUACAGCCACGUGGUCGUUGGUCAUGUGACGAGAACUGGUGAUUGGUCAUUUGUCUCUCAAGAACUACUUUUUUCCGCGUAAUGCUUUUUGCUGUGUGCGUCUAUCUAUCGUUUCAUGUUGUCAAUUUGUCAUUUGAGUGUAGAUUUUGUUAUUGUUGAAUUUGUAUUAAAAUUGUCCAUUCAUUAUUUAUUGAAAUAAAUUGUAACACAUUCCCUCAA